rnacentral:rRNA from 1 species
UACGUAGGGGGCAAGCGUUGUCCGGAUUUAUUGGGCGUAAAGAGCGUGUAGGCGGCCAUACAGGUCAGCUGUGAAAACUCGAGGCUCAACCUCGAGAAGUCGGUUGAAACCGUAUGGCUAGAGUCCGGAAGAGGAGAGUGGAAUUCCCGGUGUAGCGGUGAAAUGCGCAGAUAUCGGGAAGAACACCCGUGGCGAAGGCGGCUUUCUGGGACGGUACUGACGCUGAGACGCGAAAGCGUGGGGAGCGAACAGG